GUUGUUGUAGGCACUGAUGGACAAAAGCUGGACCAUUAUCUGAUCCUAUAGAACACGGUAGUCCAUAUCGGGGUAUUAUUUCUCGCAACAGAAAUCGCACAACUUCUCCUGCUUUCUCUGUACGAGUUGGACACGCCUCUACCCAUCCUGAGUAGGUACACACAGCUACUAGUAGGUAACGAUGUCAGCCGGAUUUGGGCAUUACCGUGUAGUCUAUUUGGAG